AACGAACGCUGGCGGCAGGCUUAACACAUGCAAGUCGAGCGCAUCCUUCGGGGUGAGCGGCGGACGGGUGAGUAACGCGUGGGAACGUGCCCUCUUCUACGGAAUAGCCUCGGGAAACUGAGAUUAAUGCCGUAUACGCCCGCAAGGGGAAAGAUUUAUCGGAGGAGGAUCGGCCCGCGUUGGAUUAGGUAGUUGGUGGGGUAAUGGCCUACCAAGCCGACGAUCCAUAGCUGGUUUGAGAGGAUGAUCAGCCACACUGGGACUGAGACACGGCCCAGACUCCUACGGGAGGCAGCAGUGGGGAAUCUUGGACAAUGGGGGCAACCCUGAUCCAGCCAUGCCGCGUGAUCGAUGAAGGCCUUAGGGUUGUAAAGAUCUUUCAGCUGGGAAGAUAAUGACGGUACCAGCAGAAGAAGCCCCGGCUAACUCCGUGCCAGCCGCCGCCGUAA
rnacentral:rRNA from 1 species